GACGAACGCUGGCGGCGUGCUUAACACAUGCAAGUCGAACGGAAAGGCCCUGCUUUUGUGGGCUGCUCGAGUGGCGAACGGGUGAGUAACACGUGAGUAACCUGCCCUUGACUUUGGGAUAACUUCAGGAAACUGGGGCUAAUACCGGAUAGGAGCUCCUGCUGCAUGGUGGGGGUUGGAAAGUUUCGGCGGUCGGGGAUGGACUCGCGGCUUAUCAGCUUGUUGGUGGGGUAGUGGCUUACCAAGGAUUUGACCGGUAGCCGGCCUGGGAGGGUGAACGGCGACAUUGGGACUGAGAGACGGCCCAGACUCCAACGGGAGGCAGCAGUGGGGAAUAUUGCACAAUGGGCGGAAGCCUGAUGCAGCAACGCCGCGUGCGGGAUGACGGCCUUCGGGUUGUAAACCGCUUUCGCCUGUGACGAAGCUGGAGUGACGGUAAUGGGUAAAGAAGCACCGGCUAACUACGUG
rnacentral:rRNA from 1 species